GAAAGCUUGGCCUAAAUCUGCGACCAGAAGUUCGCUGGUUUCUUGCUUCUGAUUGAAAGCACAGCAACGCGAGAAAGCUUAGGCGAACCGUUGAUGACAAAACGCCAGUGAUUUAAUUUGCUUGCUGUCCGACCAUUGUUUCGUGUAGAUACUUGAGCACUUGGUAGAUCUCAAGUCUCCUUGGAACUGCCCCGAUGGAAGGCCGGUCAUGCAUCGUUUGGUCGACGGCCUUUCUCUCUCCACUCGACGGCCUCAUCUCAGGGCUCCAUUCUCUCGACGCACUUCUUCCUAAAUCGCGCUCUCUCCCGACGGCCGAUUUCGCUCGCCUCUCCCACGACCUCCACGCUUUUAGCGGUUCUUCCCUCUCGGUUCGGUGAGGUCUCGGAUCGGUCCUUCAGCACGUUGCUGACUUUUUUGCACGUUGUAGCUUCGCGGCUGCUCCGAGAUUCUGGGCUGGUCGUUCUAUCGUCUUGCUCGGAGAGCAAAAUGGUGUCCAAAAGGGGCGUGUCAAAUUCGUCGACACCUGAGUCGGCGGCAACUUCUGAGGACAAGAAAGGGAAGAAAUCGAAAGGAUCGGUGGCUUCAGUUCCUAGUUCUACCAAAAGUCAUGUCAAGAAAAAUUCUGGGGCAAGCAUUGGUGAAGCCGUGUUGCCUAAUAAUGACCUGGCCAAAAUUGAGGCAAUGACAUUUCACGAAUUGAGAGCUACAUUGAGGUGGGGAUGAAUUGUUUUAGUUGCAAGCGUGUGAGUCAUUAUAGUGUUUCCUGUGUAACCUUUACAGUAAGCAAAAAUCAAGUUUUUCAAUUUGAUGCUUGCAAGGGAGAUUAUUGAGUAGGGAAGUGAAUAUUACUGAUGGAAAACCAUGAGGUCUUGAGAAUUUUCCUUCAACAAAGAGCAAUUUGUUUAUGAAAAUGGAAUUUUUGCA